AACCUCUCCUCUAAAGCGGGAGGAGCCGAUGUUUGGGGGCGCUCACUGACUUGAGGCUCCUCAGGCCGUUCUGGCCUGCUUUGUUGAGGAGGGUCAGCUUGGUCCCUUUCAGGUAUCAUCGAGGAUUUACUUUUAGACCUCAGAUGAUGGUUGUGCUUUUGUCUUUCGGAAGACAUUGCAGACAAAAGCGUGUUCCAACUAGAGAGCAAGUGUUGCUAGAACUAGCCCGAGAGAAAGAACCAAGUGGA
rnacentral:lncRNA from 1 species